CGAUACUUGCCGAAAGCCAACUCUACUCUGUAGCUUCUCCGGAAAAAUCGGGUUACUAUUCACUUUAAGUGAAAAUUAAUAAUCACGUAAUUUCUCCGUUCUAGCUCAUUUUCUCCUGAAACUUGACGAGUGCUUAUGUAAUUAAAUUACACACAUAAACAUCAUCAACAGAGAGUUUAGUUGCACUGUAAAAAUCUCAGUCCUUACACAUAGAGGGGAUUUAGAUGUUGAUUAGGGGAUAAAGGUGGGAUUUUUAAGGAAAAAAUAAGAUGGGAAAUAAUAUGAAGUGGAUUUUGAGGGGUUCUAGAUAGGGGAAUUGAUCUAUUUUUGAGAUAAUUUUUUUGAAGAAAUUGGGGUUAAAAUUGUAUGAAAAUGAGGAUAAAAAAUAAUAUAAAAUGGGAUUUGGGGGUUUUAGAAGGGAUUUUUUUACGUAAAAUUGCAAAUAAAAAAUGAAUUUUUGGGUUAAAAAUGAUCUUUUUGUUGAACCUGAGAUCAGUUUUGAAAAUAUUAUAGAGUUUUUAGAGAGAAAUUGGAUAUGAAUCUUUUUACAAUAUCUAAAUUGAAGUGUUUAAGAUUUGAUAUUAUGAAAAUAGUUAAAUUUGG
rnacentral:lncRNA from 1 species